GGAUCCUCGUGUUUUGUUCUUCUCUGUUCAUAGGCAUGAGUUUGGAAGCUUUUAUCCAGCUACUGAUGAUGGUUUAUAUACUAUGAUUGGAGAAGGACCAGGAGCAGGAUACAACAUUAAUGUCCCUUGGGAAAAUGGUCGGUGUGGGGAUGCAGACUAUUUUGCAGUUUGGGACCAUAUUUUGGUUCCUGUUGCCAAGGAAUUUAAUCCUGACUUAAUUAUAGUCUCUGCAGGAUUUGAUGCAGAUGGCCACUUUUAAAAUCAAAGCAGUGGAAAGAAUGCAAUCUUCUGAAGAAAGUUGCUGGGAAGGUAAGAUAUUUAUUUAUUCUAUAUGUAACUCUUUAAGUAUCAUAAUUUUUUUCAAAUGAAUUUGCUUGAAACAGCUGCUGGU